AUCCAUCGUUUACGGCUAGGACUACAGGGGUAUCUAAUCCCUUUCGCUCCCCUAGCUUUCGUCCCUGAGUGUCAGAUACAGCCCAGUAGCACGCUUUCGCCACCGAUGUUCUUCCCAAUCUCUACGCAUUUCACCGCUACACUGGGAAUUCCUGCUACCCCUACUGCUCUCUAGUCUGCCAGUUUCCACCGCCUUUAGGUCGUUAAGCAACCUGAUUUGACGGCAGACUUGGCUGACCACCUGCGGACGCUUUACGCCCAAUAAUUCCGGAUAACGCUUGCCUCCCCCGUAUUACCGCGGCUGCUGGCACGGAGUUAGCCGAGGCUGAUUCCUCAAGUACCGUCAGAACUUCUUCCUUGAGAAAAGAGGUUUACAAUCCAAAGACCUUCCUCCCUCACGCGGCGUUGCUCCGUCAGGCUUUCGCCCAUUGCGGAAAAUUCCCCACUGCUGCCUCCCGUAG
rnacentral:rRNA from 1 species